rnacentral:rRNA from 1 species
CGAGCGGACAGAUGGGAGCUUGCUCCCUGAUGUUAGCGGCGGACGGGUGAGUAACACGUGGGUAACCUGCCUGUAAGACUGGGAUAACUCCGGGAAACCGGGGCUAAUACCGGAUGCUUGUUUGAACCGCAUGGUUCAAACAUAAAAGGUGGCUUCGGCUACCACUUACAGAUGGACCCGCGGCGCAUUAGCUAGUUGGUGAGGUAAUGGCUCACCAAGGCGACGAUGCGUAGCCGACCUGAGAGGGUGAUCGGCCACACUGGGACUGAGACACGGCCCAGACUCCUACGGGAGGCAGCAGUAGGGAAUCUUCCGCAAUGGACGAAAGUCUGACGGAGCAACGCCGCGUGAGUGAUGAAGGUUUUCGGAUCGUAAAGCUCUGUUGUUAGGGAAGAACAAGUACCGUUCGAAUAGGGCGGUACCUUGACGGUACCUAACCAGAAAGCCACGGCUAACU